rnacentral:lncRNA from 1 species
AUGAUUUUUAUUAACAGACACUGUUUAUUUUUCACUUUGCAUGACGUCAUCAACACUGUGACACCAGGGGGCGCUCAUCACCAGCUGAAGAAGUGUGCAGUGAUAAUGGGGGGAGACGCAGUAUUGUGUGUACUACAGUUGUACUUCGGACCAGGAGUGACAUGUUUAGCUGCAUGUUCUCCUCUCAGGGUACCAGGUGGGGAUGGUGGAGGUGACAGAGGGGGAGGAGUCUGUCCUGUGGCCCUUUAAAACCACACCUGGCCUUCCUCAGGACGUCACAGUGGAGUGGACUCUCACUGAACCCAAACCCAUGAAGGUCCAUGAGAGUGGAAACAAUCAGCCAGAUAAACAGGACCAGGAUUACAGAGGUCGCACAGAGACCACUUCAGUCUGACCCUGAAAGACCUCCACCUCACUGACAGUGGAGUCUACACCUGCACCGUCAGCAGUAAGGAUGGAUAUGUCCUGCUGCAGAAAGUGGGGACUCUCAAUGUUAUAGGUCAGUAAACACAUCACAGGUCUCAGUGAAUGCUGCAUCAACAGCAGCUCCACCCUCCUCCUCCUCCUCUACAGGAGAAACUUUCUGUUUUUCCAUAUAAUCUAUGAUUAUUGUUCCCACGGCGACACACACAGCAUCAUGACCUGAACAACAUGAUCCCUGAUCUGAUGUUAUAAUCCUGUAUUUACAUGUGUGUCAGUUUUGGCUGGCGGUCAUAUGUCCCUUCCAAUAACACGACGCGAGACUGGAAUAAAAUGUAUCCAUGGACUGGAAAACUUUAUUAAAGAAGACACAUGUUAACACAGCACAACACCAACUAAAAGCAAAAUGGCUUCACUUAUACUCUAAAAACUAAACUAAACCAGUAAACUCUACAAGACAUGCUGUGUAAGUAAACAAACAACAACAGUUUGGUCUGCAUUUAUUCAAAGAUCAUAUCCCACAGACUUAGUUUAGAGGGUCCACACUGUCUGCACUGUAUAUAGUGAAGUCUGCAAGUUUUUGAACAGUGAAAUUAGUUUUGUGCCCAAAUUAUUCUGCAGAUCAUCAGAAUAAGUUAUUGGCCAUGUUUGCAGAGCCCUUUUUAAAAAUAUGCUUUCAUGACAUUAUCGUGUGUGGGGUGGUGGUCAGAGCUAUCCAGACUGACCAGGGGGACGCUGAAUGUAAGAAAAAACAUGUUUUAAUAAAGCAAAUAAGUUGUUGUUCUAAAGAAUCUGAUUGUUUGCUUGCAGGACACCAGCAGAGAUGAGUCCUCCGUCACAGAAGUAUUUAUAUAUGUUCUAUUUCUAUUGUAUAUAUUAAUCAGCAUCUGUGGGUGGACAGCAAAAAAUUUCAUUGCACAGAGAAAUGCCUUUUCUCUUGUGACACAUGACAAUAAACACUUUGAAUCUUGAAUCUUUGAAUCUUGAAGACGGUCACCUGCAGGUCAAAGGUCAUUGCAUGUCCAACCCACAUCCACUGCCACUAAGUUAAAGACUUUCUUCAGCACUUACAUUUGACCACCUCGAUCUAUGACAGUCAUUCAGGCAGUGAUGCCUGGACUGGAAACAAGCAUCCUUACUAAGCAUACUGUUUUGCAUUUCAAAAUAAAAGUUGGGCUUAUUUUGAUGCCAUUACAGGAACUGCUGUGAAUUCUUCUUUUUGAAUCAUUACUUAGUUAAGUUGUGGAAACUAAUGAGGUUGUACGUUCAUGUUGGGAGAAGAGAGCCAGAAUAAUCUUAUCUGUACGACUGUUUCAGGCUGAUCCUUGGUGUGAGGCAGACUGUUGUCACACUGGGAUCCUGUAAACUUGUCAUUUCACCUGCUGAAGGAAAUCUUUUUAAAUCUUUUUCUCCUGAAUUCCUUCUGAAAACAUUUGAACACAACAAAUUGGUGACCCGACGUGAUUUUUUGGGUUGGAAAGGAGAAAAGGAGGAUUGGAGAGGCUCCUGACGGAGCUGCUGUCAGACGCCAGAAGUGGAGGAAACUGAUUCACCCUCACAGACGGCCUUCAAAAUAAAGGUACGCAGAGCCUGUUAUAUCAAAAGCUGCAAAAUUGGACAUAAACCAAAUUAAAAUGUGAGCGGUGAGAGGUUACAGUGUUUAUAUGAUAAGAUACAUGUUUAAUACAUAAAGUUGGAAUUACAAGUUAGUAAGAAGGUUUUUAACAAAGGUUUAAUUUAAGCCUGAAGUUUAAAGGUGAAAGAAAUUUCAAGGUUUAUCAAGGCUAACAUGGAAAUAGGUCAAAGGUUAAGAUUAAGGAUUAAGAUGAAUCAGAAAAUUAUGUAAUGAAAUGAAAAUAUGAGUUAAAGGAAUAAAUAGGUCAAAGGUCAGAUUAAGUGAAAUUUUAAGCCUUUGUUAGUUAAACCAGAUAAAAUAAUCGGAAUAAACGAAUGGAGGAAAAUCGCAAAGAUGUUGUGAUCAAAGCUCUUGUAAAAUAGUUUGAACGGCAUAAAGAAAAAUACGUUUCAGUAUAUUGUAUGUUUUAGCUAAAACCACUGUAGACACUGGUAGUGACCUCAAAUCAUUGUUACUGAAGAAGGAGGAAUUCCACCUUAAACAGUAAAGUGUUCUUUAACAGUACGACAUUGAUAGAGUUUGUUUGUUUGUGUGUUUGAGAGUUCAGACUGAAAGAGAUGCACAAUUGUGUGUGUGUGUGUGUGUGUGUGUGUGUGUGUGUGUGUGCGUGUGUGUGUGUGUGUGUCUGCAGCUGUUCUUUGUGUUGUUGCUGGAUCGUUGCCUCAGGGGGAAAGUUGUGUGUGUGUUGAACAUGCAGACUAACAGAGACUGCAGCUGUCAGCAGCCACACACACUUUAUAUUCUUCAAAUCAAAUCACAGUGAAACAUGUUCACUGACAGCUCAGCUUCAGCAUCUUAUUCAUGCUGUGACUGCAGCCGUUCAACUCUGUUUCUCUUUAACCCAAAUCAUCACAACAUGGAAAUAUAAUCAUCAAAAUGAUGUGACUGGAAGGAUGCAGCAGUCUGUGCUCCACCUUUCUCCUCCACACCUGCAGGUGGAGAACAUGGAUGCAUGAAUCUCUACAGAGUUCUUUGAAUAUUAUCCGUCUUAUCAGUUUUCAGUGAACAAAAAUCCUCACAGAGCCAAAAUAAGCAGUUUGUAUCCAACAUAACUCAGCUGGACUCUGAUGCUCCGUAUAACAGCCACACAUGAGUCUGGAUUCACUCAAAGCGUUGAACAAACUUUAUUGUAAAUGAAGCUUUUGGACAUUUAUUCUCUGAUAUUUGCUCUUCAGCUCGAGUCUCCAUCAGUGGGAACAUUUCCUGAUUCAACUUUUCUUCUGUUCAAAUCAAACUCCAUGAGAAUCAAAGUGUGAAUCAGAGUCCUGAUGAUCAGAUUCUAUAGAAACAUGGAGACUGUAGAGGAUUUACACUCAAUAUGUUCAUUUGUUCCCUUCAAGAAAAAU